AUGCCUCUCUCUUUAUAUUUUAGACUUGACUUGAAUAAGCUGACACCUACUGAAAUAUCUUUGCAAAUGGCUGAUAAAUCAACAGCUAUACAUGUCGGUAUUUGUGAGGAUGUGCCUGUUGUGGUUGCAAACGUUACUAUUUUAACGGACUUUGUUAUACUUGAUAUUCCCGAGGAUGAUAGUGUGUCUAUUAUUCUUGGAAGACCUUUUCUUAAUACUGGAGGGGCUGUUAUUGAUUGCAACAAAGGCAAUGUCACUUUUCAUAUUAAUGGUAAUGAGCAUACGGUACACUUUCCGAGGAAACAACCUCAAGUUCAUAGUAUCAACUCUAUUGGAAGAAUUCCAUCGAUUAUAUUUGGAGGUUUUGAAUUUCCUCUUCCUACUGUCAAGAAGAAAUAUGAUAUUCUUAUUAUUGGGGAUGUGUAUAUCCCCGUUGAGGUAACUUAA
rnacentral:rRNA from 1 species